GACAAAGGGGUGAGGGAGAAGGAGAUCCGGAUUGUCAAGCAAGUCUCUCCUGUUCGGCCACUGGCGUGAGCAAGUUCUUGGGGGUGGCGGCCAAAGACCUACAAGGGCAACAAGUAUGAAACUGUCAACGGCAGAGCAAUAGUGCAGAGAGUUCAGAUGUCUGAUGCGAGCCUGAACUGGGUAGCAGCGGCUGAUGAGAAAAUCUAACACAGAUGGCACCCGGAAAGCAAGAAAAGAAACUAUGAUGAUUGCCAGGGCUGCUGGGAUCUUCUGCAGACCCCACCACCAGGACCUGCAGUUACUUCACCAUGUGAUAGAUGUUGAUGCCUGCAGGAUUCUGCUGACUUCCUAGUCAUCUCCAGACAUUUCAGUCAUGAAACUUCCCCAGAACUACAUGGAGUGCAGUCAGG
rnacentral:lncRNA from 1 species